UAGUAACGGCGAGUGAAGCGGCAACAGCUCAAAUUUGAAAGCUGGCCUUCGGGUCCGCAUUGUAAUUUGUAGAGGAUGCUUUGGGGCAGCCGCCUGUCUAAGUUCCUUGGAACAGGACGUCAUAGAGGGUGAGAAUCCCGUAUGUGACAGGACAUGGCACCCUAUGUAAAGCUCCUUCGACGAGUCGAGUUGUUUGGGAAUGCAGCUCUAAAUGGGAGGUAAAUUUCUUCUAAAGCUAAAUACCGGCGAGAGACCGAUAGCGCACAAGUAGAGUGAUCGAAAGAUGAAAAGCACUUUGGAAAGAGAGUUAAAAAGCACGUGAAAUUGUUGAAAGGGAAGCGCUUGCAAUCAGACUUGUUUAAACUGUUCGGCCGGUCUUCUGACCGGUUUACUCAGUUUGGACAGGCCAGCAUCAGUUUCGGCGGCCGGAUAAAGGCCCUAGGAAUGUGACCCCCUCUUCGGAGGGGGUGUUAUAGCCUGGGGUGUAAUACGGCCAGCCGGGACUGAGGUCCGCGCUUCGGCUAGGAUGCUGGCGU
rnacentral:rRNA from 1 species